ACUCCUACGGGAGGCAGCAGUAGGGAAUCUUCCGCAAUGGACGCAAGUCUGACGGAGCAACGCCGCGUGAGUGAAGAAGGUCUUCGGAUCGUAAAGCUCUGUUGUUAGAGAAGAACAGCGCAUAGAGUAACUGUUAUGCGUGUGACGGUAUCUAACCAGAAAGCCACGGCUAACUACGUGCCAGCAGCCGCGGUAAUACGUAGGUGGCGAGCGUUGUCCGGAUUUAUUGGGCGUAAAGGGAGUGUAGGCGGUCUUUUAAGUCUGAUGUGAAAGCCCACGGCUCAACCGUGGAGGGUCAUUGGAAACUGGGAGACUUGAGUGCAGAAGAGGAGAGCGGAAUUCCAUGUGUAGCGGUGAAAUGCGUAGAUAUAUGGAGGAACACCAGUGGCGAAGGCGGCUCUCUGGUCUGUAACUGACGCUGAGGCUCGAAAGCGUGGGGAGCAAACAGGAUUAGAUACCCUGGUAGCUAG
rnacentral:rRNA from 1 species